rnacentral:tRNA from 1 species
UGGCCGAGUGGUUAAGGCGAUGGAUUGCUAAUCCAUUGUGCUCUGCACGCGUGGAUUUGAAUCCCAUCCUCAUCGUCUGCACCA